rnacentral:rRNA from 1 species
GCGUGCCUAAUACAUGCAAGUCGAACGCUUCUUUCCUCCCGAGUGCUUGCACUCAAUUGGAAAGAGGAGUGGCGGACGGGUGAGUAACACGUGGGUAACCUACCCAUCAGAGGGGGAUAACACUUGGAAACAGGUGCUAAUACCGCAUAACAGUUUAUGCCGCAUGGCAUAAGAGUGAAAGGCGCUUUCGGGUGUCGCUGAUGGAUGGACCCGCGGUGCAUUAGCUAGUUGGUGAGGUAACGGCUCACCAAGGCCACGAUGCAUAGCCGACCUGAGAGGGUGAUCGGCCACACUGGGACUGAGACACGGCCCAGACUCCUACGGGAGGCAGCAGUAGGGAAUCUUCGGCAAUGGACGAAAGUCUGACCGAGCAACGCCGCGUGAGUGAAGAAGGUUUUCGGAUCGUAAAACUCUGUUGUUAGAGAAGAACAAGGACGUUAGUAACUGAACGUCCCCUGACGGUAUCUAACCAGAAAGCCACGGCUAACUACGUGCCAGCAGCCGCGGUAAUACGUAGGUGGCAAGCGUUGUCCGGAUUUAUUGGGCGUAAAGCGAGCGCAGGCGGUUUCUUAAGUCUGAUGUGAAAGCCCCCGGCUCAACCGGGGAGGGUCAUUGGAAACUGGGAGACUUGAGUGCAGAAGAGGAGAGUGGAAUUCCAUGUGUAGCGGUGAAAUGCGUAGAUAUAUGGAGGAACACCAGUGGCGAAGGCGGCUCUCUGGGUCUGUAACUGACGCUGAGGCUCGAAAGC